GUAGGUGGCAAGCGUUGUCCGGAAUUAUUGGGCGUAAAGCGCGCGCAGGUGGUUCUUUAAGUCUGAUGUGAAAGCCCCCGGGCUCAACCGGGGAGGGUCAUUGGAAACUGGGGAACUUGAGUGCAGGAGAGGAAAGGGGAAUUCCACGUGUAGCGGUGAAAUGCGUAGAUAUGUGGAGGAACACCAGUGGCGAAGGCGACUUUCUGGCCUGUAACUGACACUGAGGCGCGAAAGCGUGGGGAGCAAACAGGAUUAGAUACCCUGGUAGUCCACGCCGUAAACGAUGAGUGCUAAGUGUUGGGGGGUUUCCGCCCCUCAGUGCUGCAGCUAACGCAUUAAGCACUCCGCCUGGGGAGUACGAUCGCAAAGACUG
rnacentral:rRNA from 1 species